rnacentral:rRNA from 1 species
GUCCUACGGGGGGCAGCAGUGAGGAAUAUUGGUCAAUGGCCGCAGGGCUGAACCAGCCAAGUCGCGUGAGGGAUGACGGUCCUAUGGAUUGUAAACCUCUUUUGUCAGGGAGCAAAGGGCGCCACGUGUGGCGUUUUGCGAGUACCCGAAGAAUAAGCUCCGGCUAACUACGUGCCAGCAGCCGCGGUAAUACGUAGGGAGCAAGCGUUAUCCGGAUUUACUGGGUGUAAAGGGCGUGUAGGCGGGCAUGCAAGCCAGAAGUGAAAUCUGGGGGCUUAACCCCCAAACUGCUUUUGGAACUGCGU